GGGAAGGUGGCUCAGUGGUAGAGCACUUGCCUUGUAUGCAUGAGGCAUGCAAGGCAUCCUCA
rnacentral:tRNA from 1 species